UACGGAAGGCAGCAGUGGGGAAUAUUGCACAAUGGGCGCAAGCCUGAUGCAGCCAUGCCGCGUGUAUGAAGAAGGCCUUCGGGUUGUAAAGUACUUUUCAGUCGUGAGGAAGGUGUUAAGGUUAAUAACCUUAGCAAUUGACGUUAGCGACAGAAGAAGCACCGGCUAACUCCGUGCCAGCAGCCGCGGUAAUACGGAGGGUGCGAGCGUUAAUCGGAAUUACUGGGCGUAAAGGGCACGCAGGCGGUUAAUUAAGUUGGAUGUGAAAUCCCCGGGCUUAACCUGGGAAUGGCAUUCAAGACUGGUUAGCUAGAGUCUUGUAGAGGGGGUAGAAUUCCAUGUGUAGCGGUGAAAUGCGUAGAGAUGUGGAGGAAUACCGGUGGCGAAGGCGGCCCCUGGACAAAGGACUGACGCUCAUGUGCGAAAGCGUGGGGAGCAAACAGGGAUUAGAUACC
rnacentral:rRNA from 1 species